rnacentral:tRNA from 17 species
GGUUAGCUCAGUAGGCAGAGCGUUCGUCUCAUAAUCCACCAAAUCUGAUCAUCAGCAGAGAAAGCGAAAGGCCGCCAGUUCGAUCCUGGC